rnacentral:rRNA from 1 species
GGCGGCGUGCUUAACACAUGCAAGUCGAGCGGAAAGGCCCUUCGGGGGUACUCGAGCGGCGAACGGGUGAGUAACACGUGAGUAACCUGCCCCUGACUCUGGGAUAAGCCUGGGAAACCGGGUCUAAUACCGGAUACGACCAUUUCUCGCAUGGGAUGGUGGUGGAAAGUUUUUUCGGUUGGGGAUGGGCUCGCGGCCUAUCAGCUUGUUGGUGGGGUGAUGGCCUACCAAGGCGACGACGGGUAGCCGGCCUGAGAGGGCGACCGGCCACACUGGGACUGAGACACGGCCCAGACUCCUACGGGAGGCAGCAGUGGGGAAUAUUGCGCAAUGGGCGGAAGCCUGACGCAGCGACGCCGCGUGGGGGAUGACGGCCUUCGGGUUGUAAACCUCUUUCAGCAGGGACGAAGUUGACGUGUACCUGUAGAAGAAGCGCCGGCUAACUACGUGCCAGCAGCCGCGGUAAUACGUAGGGCGCGAGCGUUGUCCGGAAUUAUUGGGCGUAAAGAGCUCGUAGGUGGCUUGUCGCGUCUGCCGUGAAAGCCCGUGGCUUAACUACGGGUCUGCGGUGGAUACGGGCAGGCUAGAGGCUGGUAGGGGCAAGCGGAAUUCCUGGUGUAGCGGUGAAAUGCGCAGAUAUCAGGAGGAACACCGGUGGCGAAGGCGGCUUGCUGGGCCAGUUCUGACGCUGAGGAGCGAAAGCGUGGGGAGCGAACAGGAUUAGAUACCCUGGUAGUCCACGCUGUAAACGUUGGGCGCUAGGUGUGGGGGUCUUCCACGACUUCUGUGCCGUAGCUAACGCAUUAAGCGCCCCGCCUGGGGAGUACGGCCGC